GAUGAACGCUAGCGAUAGGCUUAACACAUGCAAGUCGAGGGGUAACGUGUUGGAAGCUUGCUUCCGAUGACGACGACCGGCGGAUGGGUGCGUAACGCGUAUGCAACUUGCCUCACAGUGGAGAAUAACCCGGAGAAAUCCGGACUAAUACUCCAUACACUCUUAAGUACGCCUGUACAUGAGAGGAAAGAUUUAUCGCUGUGAGAUAGGCAUGCGUCCUAUUAGGUAGUUGGUGAGGUAACGGCUCACCAAGCCGACGAUAGGUAGGGGUGCUGAGAGGCAGAUCCCCCACAUUGGGACGGAGACACGGCCCAAACUCCUACGGGAGGCAGCAGUGAGGAAUAUUGGUCAAUGGAGGAAACUCUGAACCAGCCAAGUCGCGUGAAGGAAGAAUGUCCUAAGGAUUGUAAACUUCUUUAGCGAGCGAGUAAGGACUUCCACGUGAUGGGAGUUUGAAAGUAGCUCGAGAAUAAGUAUCGGCUAACUCCGUG
rnacentral:rRNA from 1 species